rnacentral:sRNA from 1 species
CUGAAUAUAAUUCUUGUCACUGUGGAUUUGGGCUCCCUUUCUAUGUCCAAUUCCUCUUCCCUUAUUUAGGCUCAGGGGAGAGAGAAAGCCCAGAAAGAAAGCUACUCCAGGGUCCUAUGGAUAUUUCAGAGAAGUUAUUUUGUUCAACCUGUGACCAGACCUUCCAGAACCACCAAGAACAGAGGGAACAUUAUAAGCUUGACUGGCAUCGGUUUAACCUAAAGCAACGUCUCAAGGACAAGCCUCUCCUGUCUGCCCUGGACUUUGAAAAGCAGAGCUCCACAGGAGAUCUUUCCAGCAUCUCAGGAUCAGAAGACUCAGACUCAGCCAGUGAGGAGGACUUGCAGACACUGGAUCGGGAGAGGGCUACAUUUGAGAAGUUUAGCCGACCCCAAGGCUUUUACCCUCAUCGAGUUCUUUUCCAGAAUGCCCAGGGCCAGUUUCUUUAUGCCUACCGCUGUGUCCUAGGCCCUCAUCAGGCAAGUGACAGUACAGGUUGUAUGGCUAACCCCAGCCUUUUGUACACCCAGCCUAGAUUUCCCUAAACCUAAUGCA